GGGACAGUAGCUCAGCCUGGGAGAGCACACGGCUGAAGACCGUGCUGUCGUGCGUUCAAAUCGCACCUGUCCCA
rnacentral:tRNA from 1 species